CGUAAGCAACGCGAAGAACCUUACCAAGAACUUGACAUCCCCUGACAGCUGUUGAAAGGCAGUGUCUCUUCGGAGCAGGGAGACAGGUGGUGCAUGGUUGUCGUCAGCUCGUGUCGUGAGAUGUUGGGUUAAGUCCCGCAACGAGCGCAACCCCUUAUCCUUAGUUACCAGCACGUAAAGGUGGGGACUCUAGGGAGACCGCCGGGGACGACUCGGAGGAAGGUGGGGACGGACGUCAAAUCAUCAUGCCCCUUAUGUCUUGGGCUACACACGUGCUACAAUGGCCGCAACAGAGGGAAGCGAGAGCGCAAGCUGGAGCAAAACCCUAAAAAGCGGUCCCAGUUCGGAUUGUGGGCUGCAACCCGCCCACAUGAAGUCGGAGUUGCUAGUAAUCGCGAAUCCAGCAUGUCGCGGUGAAUGCGUUCCGGGCCUU
rnacentral:rRNA from 1 species